UACAGAGGUGGCAAGCGUUGUUCGGAAUUACUGGGCGUAAAGCGUGCGUAGGUGGUUCGUUGUGUCUGUGGUGAAAGCCCCGGGCUUAACCUGGGAAUGGCCAUGGAAACUGGCGAGCUGGAGUAUGGGAGAGGGUAGUGGAAUUCCCGGUGUAGCGGUGAAAUGCGUAGAUAUCGGGAGGAACAUCAGUGGCGAAGGCGGCUACCUGGCCCAAUACUGACACUCAGGUGCGACAGCGUGGGGAGCAAACAGG
rnacentral:rRNA from 1 species